CGCCUCUUGAUUACAAAACAUAAGAGGUCCCGCCUGCCCAGUGACUAUAAGUUUAACGGCCGCGGUAUUUUAACCGUGCAAAGGUAGCGCAAUCACUUGUCCUUUAAAUGAAGACCUGUAUGAACGGCUCCACGAGGGCUUAACUGUCUCCUUUUCCCUGUCAAUGAAAUUGAUCUCCCCGUGCAGAAGCGGGGAUAAUUACAUAAGACGAGAAGACCCUAUGGAGCUUUAGGCUCCAGAACAGACUAUGUAAAACACCCUUGCAUAAAAGACAAAACUUAUUAGUCCCUGUUCUAAUAUGCCUUUGGUUGGGGCGACCGCGGGGAAUUACACAACCCCCAUGUGGACUAGGAGUAUAAUUUCUCCUACAACCUAGAGCUACCGCUCUAAGUAACAGAAUAUUUGACCAAUGAUGAUCCGGCACAGCCGAUCAACGAAUCAAGUUACCCUAGGGAUAACAGCGCAAUCCCCUUCUAGAGUCCCUAUCGACAAGGGGGUUUACGACCUCGAUGUUGGAUCAGGACAUCCUAUUGGUGUAACCGCUAUUAAGGGUUCGUUUGUUCAACGAUUAAAGUCCU
rnacentral:rRNA from 1 species